rnacentral:rRNA from 1 species
CCUACGGGUGGCAGCAGUGAGGAAUAUUGGUCAAUGGACGGAAGUCUGAACCAGCCAUGCCGCGUGCAGGAAGACGGCUCUAUGAGUUGUAAACUGCUUUUGUACAAGGGUAAACCUGAAUACGUGUAUUCAGCUGAAAGUACUGUACGAAUAAGGAUCGGCUAACUCCGUGCCAGCAGCCGCGGUAAUACGGAGGAUCCAAGCGUUAUCCGGAUUUAUUGGGUUUAAAGGGUGCGCAGGCGGUCUGUUAAGUCAGCGGUCAAAGCCCGGGGCUCAACCCCGGCCCGCCGUUGAAACUGGCAGUCUCGAGUUGGAGAGAAGUAUGCGGAAUGCGCGGUGUAGCGGUGAAAUGCAUAGAUAUCGCGCAGAACUCCGAUUGCGAAGGCAGCAUGCCGGCUCCACACUGACGCUGAGGCACGAAAGCGUGGGUAUCGAACAGGAUUAGAUACCCUAGUAGUC